rnacentral:lncRNA from 1 species
ACAAUACCAACCAGCGAAACUCCAUUCGAACGAUAGCUCCGGCCAGCGACUCAGCAAACAAGCAACAUAAAAUAUGAUAAUAGAGUUCACUCAGAGCUCGAUAUUUUGGUUGGUUUAGGACGGAUCUCAACAGAUUCGUCCAGGUAUUGAAUCUACGAUACACAAUUAUAGUUUAGUCCUUUGGAGUGGUUUAUAGCAUGUUUCAAAUUGUUAUACUGUUGAGGUUUAUUCAUAUUAAUGCGAUAUGUGAUUAAAUUUGUAUUAAAAUUUUGCUUAAAAUUAAAGGUUUGUGCUUGCUUAUUUCCCCUUUUUUUUUAGUGAUUCUUGAAGCUAAUUUAGUGGUUCUUGAUGGGAGAUUUGAUCUAAUUGUUUGAUUAUUUCCUUAGUUAACUGGAUUAGUUGUCCAUUUGCCGAUUGUGAUCGACAUGGAUGUGAUGAUUGCCCUUAAUUGAUUAAUGUUUCCUCUUUCUUUGUUGCUCUGGUUUAAACUUGCCUAGUAUAUCUUGUACAAUUUUUGGUAAAAUUGUGGUAUGAUUAUUCCUUCCUUAAUAUAGCAUUGUUUUAAAUUGAUAUUUUUGAUCGACUAAGUAUAGUUACCUCAACUAAAGCGGGCAAAUUUACCUUUAUUUGGUAAAAUAAUAAAUUAAUUAAAAUCUGAUUUGGCUAUCCUUUGAAAUAAGGAAAAUAUUAUAUUAAUUGAUUCCUUAAAAUAUUUAUUUCCCUUAUAUGUGUCCCUCUUCUACUAUAUAAAUAGAACCCCUCCCUUAAUUAUAAAAUACUCUCACAUUCAGACAUUGGCUUACACUCAAAAAAAAAAAGACUAAAAAAAUACUUCUUUCUACUCUUAAAAAAAAUUAAGUUUUCCGAUAAACAUUAAAGUUCCUCUCUACUUGCUAUUUUGCAGUGUACGGGUCGGUAAUUGGAUUAAGUAUGGAUCUUCAUUGUUGUUUUCUUUUACUGCAUAACUGGUUAGUAACCUUUAUACAUGUUUAAUUUAUGUUCUGCAUCAUCUUAGUUAUCUUAAGUCCAAAAUUGGGUAUUAAUAAAUAAAAGGAAGCAUCCAGGUCAGUUUUCUUCUCCCUUAUUAUGUGUGAUAUUAUAUUUUGCUUGAAUGAAUUGUUUGUUCAAAUUUGGUGUGUAUGCUCUGAGCUAUUUUAUAAUUAGUUUGUUGUACUAUCCAUUCACUCUUUCACUUUGGUUUAGCAGGCUGAAUUUAGUUUCGGGAGUUUGAAGAGUUGCCUGGGAUGGGUCAUUGGGACAAGAUUUCUUUUGUUUUUAGCUAUAAUAUUUGUAUUUGCUAUUAUGGUUUUGUAAUAUUUUUUUUGUAACUCUAACUCUCUCCAUAUAUGAAAUAAUUUGGGGGAAUUGUGUAAGGGGGAGGGGGAUUCCAUGCUAAUUAUUUUAUUUAUAUACUUCAUUAUUUGUGAUUGCUAAAUUUAUCCAU